rnacentral:rRNA from 1 species
CAGCCGCCACGGGAAUACGUAGGGUGCAAGCGUUAAUCGGAAUUACUGGGCGUAAAGCGUGCGCAGGCGGUUCUAUAAGACAGAUGUGAAAUCCCCGGGCUCAACCUGGGAACUGCAUUUGUGACUGUAGAGCUGGAGUGCGGCAGAGGGGGAUGGGAUUCCGCGUGUAGCAGUGAAAUGCGUAGAUAUGCGGAGGAACACCGAUGGCGAAGGCAAUCCCCUGGGCCUGCACUGACGCUCAUGCACGAAAGCGUGGGGAGCGAACAGGAUUAGAUACCCCUGUAGUCCCUGUCUCUUAUAC